AGAGUUUGAUCCUGGCUCAGGACGAACGCUGGCGGCGCGCCUAACACAUGCAAGUCGAACGGAGCUGAGAGGAGCUUGCUUUUCUCAGCUUAGUGGCGAACGGGUGAGUAACGCGUGAGUAACCUGCCCUGGAGUGGGGGACAACAGUUGGAAACGACUGCUAAUACCGCAUAAGCCCACGGCCCGGCAUCGGGCUGCGGGAAAAGGAUUUAUUCGCUUCAGGAUGGACUCGCGUCCAAUUAGCUAGUUGGUGAGGUAACGGCCCACCAAGGCGACGAUUGGUAGCCGGACUGAGAGGUUGAACGGCCACAUUGGGACUGAGACACGGCCCAGACUCCUACGGGAGGCAGCAGUGGGGGAUAUUGCACAAUGGGGGAAACCCUGAUGCAGCGACGCCGCGUGGAGGAAGAAGGUUUUCGGAUUGUAAACUCCUGUCGUUAGGGACGAUAAUGACGGUACCUAACAAGAAAGCACCGGCUAACUACGUGCCAGCAGCCGCGGUAAAACGUAGGGUGCAAGCGUUGUCCGGAAUUACUGGGUGUAAAGGGAGCGCAGGCGGACCGGCAAGUUGGAAGUGAAAACCAUGGGCUCAACCCAUGAAUUGCUUUCAAAACUGCUGGCCUUGAGUAGUGCAGAGGUAGGUGGAAUUCCCGGUGUAGCGGUGGAAUGCGUAGAUAUCGGGAGGAACACCAGUGGCGAAGGCGACCUACUGGGCACCAACUGACGCUGAGGCUCGAAAGCAUGGGUAGCAAACAGGAUUAGAUACCCUGGUAGUCCAUGCCGUAAACGAUGAUUACUAGGUGUUGGAGGAUUGACCCCUUCAGUGCCGCAGUUAACACAAUAAGUAAUCCACCUGGGGAGUACGACCGCAAGGUUGAAACUCAAAGGAAUUGACGGGGGCCCGCACAAGCAGUGGAGUAUGUGGUUUAAUUCGAAGCAACGCGAAGAACCUUACCAGGUCUUGACAUCCGAUGCAUAGUGCAGAGAUGCAUGAAGUCCUACGGGACAUCGAGACAGGUGGUGCAUGGUUGUCGUCAGCUCGUGUCGUGAGAUGUUGGGUUAAGUCCCGCAACGAGCGCAACCCUUAUUGUUAGUUGGUACCAUUAAGUUGACCACUCUAGCGAGACUGCCCGGGUUAACCGGGAGGAAGGUGGGGAUGACGUCAAAUCAUCAUGCCCCUUAUGUCUAGGGCUACACACGUGCUACAAUGGCAAGUACAAAGAGAAGCAAUACUGUGAAGUGGAGCAAAACUCAAAAACUUGUCUCAGUUCGGAUUGUAGGCUGAAACUCGCCUACAUGAAGCUGGAGUUGCUAGUAAUCGAGAAUCAGAAUGUCGCGGUGAAUACGUUCCCGGGUCUU
rnacentral:rRNA from 1 species